ensembl:miRNA
AGCCCUGGGGGUGGUCUCUAGCCAACGCUCUGGGGUUUCACCCUUGGCCGGUCUCUGUUCCUCAG